rnacentral:misc_RNA from 1 species
AACCAUAGAAACCUGCGGAGUACCUGCGGAAGGAUCAUUACUGAACUGUCGACAUGAGCUGUUGCUGGUCUCCAAACGGGACAUGUGCACACUCUGUCAACACAUCCACUCACACCUGUGCACCCUCCGUAGUUCUGUGGCCUGGGGAGCUCUGCUCCCUGGCGUGGUUCUACGUCUUUACAUAUACUCUGUAACAAAGUCUCAUGGAAUGUGCAUCGCGUAUAACGCAAUACAAUACAA